AGGGGGCUUUCACCUGCCCAGACAAGAUGUCUGUUUGCUGGUCUGUGUGUGAGUUAUGCAAGGAAAAAGCACCGAAGAGCGGUGGCUGUGAACCUGACCCAAGAACAUCUCCCCUCCGGGCUCCUCGCAGCAAGAAGCCCUGCUCCAGUCUGUGCCAGGAAAAGACAGCUAUGGGGACAUAACCUCAGGCUUCAGCAUCCUCUGGCAUUUUGCUUCCAGAACUCCUACGUUUGUUCAGGUCUGCCUAUGUUGGAUCAGUUCCCUGAACUGGACCAUAUAGACUGGUUGCCUAAGCAGAUGGACCAACACAAAAAGGACUGUGGUACAGAGAAGAGGAGAAAAGGAAAAAAAAAAAAAAAAAAAAAAGCAGAGGGAGUCCUGAAUUAUUGGAAACCACAACGGCCUCAAAAGUCUCCGUAACGUGAAACUGCAGAUAAGGUUGGUCAUAGCCCGUGACAUGCAGCUGACAGCUGAGCCCAUGGGAGAAGAGCUUCCCAGCAGCAUUGUGCAAGGGGCUGAUACCGCGUCCUCCUAAAUCUUGGAGGGCUGAAGCUUAUUUGUACAACAAACAAGGCCCGAUUGGAGUUUACCGUGCAGAAUUGUGCCUCUGUAACACAGUUCAGCUGUGUGUGUAUUUCAUGGCAAAGAAAAUAUAGUGAUGACUUCCACUAGGUUUCUUCAUCAGUGGCCAUUGCUUUAAUGCUCGUUUGACUGGUUAAGUUAAAAGAAGUGCAUUGGGCAGGAUUCUGAAUAAAUGUAAAUUAGAAUUGACUCAUUAAAAUAUUUGGAGUUACAGGCACAAACAGGAUCAGAGUCAAGCCACUUGUCCUAGUUUCUGUCACACAAACACUAACCCUUUAUAAAUCAUUAAUUUCCAGACUGUUUAUUAUCCAGGGGAAGUAACAAAACAGUAGUAUCACAUAACACAUCCUAAGAAUGCCUUGUUCAUUUUAAGAGCAAAUAAAACUAAAUAGCACCAAGUUGUUAGUGAUGCAGCCUACGAGACCAAGCAGAAAGACAAAAAAGGGGAGCUUAAUCAGGCUAAGGCCACAAAAUAAACAGGGGAAUGGGUUGGGAAAAAAAUAAAAAUAAAAAUAAAAAUAAAAGUAGUACAAGAGUGACUUCACAUAGAGUAUCUUCACAUAGAUAUUCUUUGUUUAUUAUCACAUGGAAAUUCUCCGCUCGUUACAUGGUGGUGCUUUCAC